GACGAACGCUGGCGGCGUGCUUAACACAUGCAAGUCGAGCGGAAAGGCCACUUCGGUGGUACUCGAGCGGCGAACGGGUGAGUAACACGUGAGUAAUCUGCCCCUGGCUUUGGGAUAGCCACCGGAAACGGUGAUUAAUACCGGAUAUGACCACUUCACGCAUGUGAUGGUGGUGGAAAGUUUUUCGGCCAGGGAUGUGCUCGCGGCCUAUCAGCUUGAUGGUGAGGUAAUGGCUCACCAUGGCUUCGACGGGUAGCCGGCCUGAGAGGGUGACCGGUCACACUGGGACUGAGACACGGCCCAGACUCCUACGGGAGGCAGCAGUGGGGAAUAUUGGACAAUGGGCGGAAGCCUGAUCCAGCAACGCCGCGUGAGGGAUGACGGCCUUCGGGUUGUAAACCUCUUUCGCCUGUGACGAAGCGCAAGUGACGGUAACAGGUAAAGAAGCACCGGCCAACUACGUGCCAGCCGCCGCAGUAAGAC
rnacentral:rRNA from 1 species